AUUGAACGCUGGCGGCAUGCCUAACACAUGCAAGUCGAACGGCAGCACGGCAGUAGCAAUACUGUGGGUGGCGAGUGGCGGACGGGUGAGGAAUACGUCGGAAUCUGCCCCAGUCGUGGGGGAUAACUAGCCGAAAGGUUAGCUAAUACCGCAUACGACCGAGAGGUGAAAGCGGGGGACCGGCAAGGCCUCGCGCGAUUGGAUGAGCCGACGUCGGAUUAGCUAGUUGGUGGGGUAAAGGCCCACCAAGGCGACGAUCCGUAGCUGGUCUGAGAGGAUGAUCAGCCACACUGGAACUGAGACACGGUCCAGACUCCUACGGGAGGCAGCAGUGGGGAAUAUUGGACAAUGGGCGGCAAGACCUCGAUCCAGCAAUAGCCGCCGUGUGUGAAGAAGGACC
rnacentral:rRNA from 1 species